UUUUCCUUCCAGUGGUGUUUAUAAAUCGGAGACUUGGGUUUAUCUUUAUUUAACCAUUAAGAAGAAAUGUCAUAAAUUAUUAUGAUACAUUGGCUUGUAUAAGUAUUCACUGUCCUUGAACCUUUCUGCAUUUUGUUGCACUACAACCUGGAACUUAAAUGAAAUUGACAUGAAACUACACUUCAAUAUUCAUGUGCAUCCUGUUUAUGUUAAGCAGUAUCUCUCUCUCUCUGGAUUGAUGUCAUCCUACAGUCUCUCCUCAAGUAAGGCGUGGUGAGACCGUGUACCAGCUCGUACAAUACACCUGUCAAUCCAGUACCUAAACCUGAUGGUACCUGGCGUUUUACGCAGGAUUUACGUAAGAUUAAUGAAUUGAUCGUCCCUGUUGCACCCAUUAUACCUGAUGUUUCUCAUCAUUGCUGUUUUUCCGUUAUUGAUCUCUAUAUUAAUCUGCCUUUUUCAUGCACAGGGGGAGAUAAUCUUCUUGGACACGUUUUUGCCUCAAGGUUUUAUUAACUCUCCUGCUAUUUUUUCAGCCGUAAUUCAAAUUCAUAACGCACUCUGUGACCUCUCCCUCCCUCAGGACUCUGUGGUCUGUGUGUUACGGUAUCUGCUGAGUCACCAGAAAUCUGCCAAGACACUUCCUUACGCCUGCUUCAACAUCUGGCGCACAAGGGCUUAAAGGUUUCCAGGACCAAGUUGCAAUAUUGCAUGGACACUUAAGUAUUGAACUUUCACAAGCUAAGCUGUCGUAAGCUGUCAUCUGAUCGGGUACGGGUGAUUCUAGACACAAAACGCCCUGCAACUAACCAUGCACUGAUGUCUUUUCUGGGUCUUAUGAGUUACUGCAGACAAUGGAUCCCUGACUGCUCUUUAUAUGACAAGAUUCUCCGUUCUGCAAUCUCUCAUCAUGAUCCACUACAACACCCUUUGACCUGGACUGAUGCUAUGGCGGACGCUUAUCACUCCCUCAAAAGCGCUCUUUGUUCCGCCCCUGGGUUACCUGAUUACUCCAAGCCCUUCCAUCUCUAUGCCUGUGAACACCAAGGCACAGCUGUUGGCCCGGGAGCAUGGGGGGGGCGUCCUUGUGCGGGGUUUUUUAUCCAAAACAUUAGACACUGUAUCUCAAGGCUUACCUGCGUGUCUAGGGGCUGUCUCCGCAUGUGCUUUGAUGGUUUUAGACACUCGUCACAUCAAGUUAAACAGGUGUUGCAAAAUUUACAGACCCAACGUAUGACUGCUCUGUUCUACUAACAAUCUCAAAAUUCGUGUCACAUCCUCUUUUGAUAUUGUAGGUCACGCUCUCGCAUCCCUCCUUAAUUCUCGGGAUGACACUUGGGAUGACAUUGAUAUUGGCUGUCUAAAAAUCGUACAUACUACUAGUAUACUCUUUGUUGAUGGUUCUUGUUCUAAACCCUCAGACGGUGUAUAAUAUUUAUAAUACCUUUGUGGUUACUCUGUGUGUUCACUGCCUGAUAUUGUGCAUGAGGCAUACGCUCUUCCUUUCUCAUUUGAUUUUUUGUCAUCUUGAUUGUGGACAAAUUCUCUAAAUGGGUAGAAGCUUUUCCCUGUUCUCGAGAGAACACGAAGGUAGUUACUCGUAUUCUGGCAAAAGAAAUAAUACUUAGUUAUAAUAAUAAUAAUAAUAAUAAUACAUUUUAUUUAUAAGCGCCUUUCAAGAUACCCAAGGACACUGAACAGUAAAAAAAAACAAACAAUAAAAGCAGAACAAUAAAAUAACAACAAUAAAAUAAGAAGAAAUCAAUAAUAAUAAUUACCUCAAAAGUCACACAAAACCUUUGUAAGUAUCUCUCACUAAACUGGUGUUUUCACAUUCCGUACUACCCUCAAUCCUCAGGUAUCAUAGAACGUACUAAUCGAACAUUGAAAGACUAACUAACUAAGGCCAUGCAGGCCACAGGUUCGAAAAAUUGGGUAGACUUAAUGCCAGCCACUCUGGCUGAAAUUCGUAUGACACCAAAACCUAGCCUAGGGGAUAUGUCCCCUACGAAAUUAUUUUUGGAAGACCUUUCCCUCUCCCCUGGAAGAAGGGAACUCCGGCUCCGGGUACCUCUGAUUUGAAAACACAUAUGGAUGAGUAUUCUGCAGCCCUUAUAGAUAAGUUGCAUAAAAUUUGUACCAAGGUCAAUAGUACAAUAUUAUCUCCACCAGCAGCACCCACACACCCCUUUCACGUGGGAGACAAGGUGCUGGUGUGUCUUUUUAAACGAUUUGGACAAUUGGGAGAACCUAGAUAUAGUGGGCCUGCAGACAUAGUCGCCAUUACUUUUACUGCUGUUUUUACUGAUCUUUUUCCACAGUGGAUCCAUGCCACGUGAUUGAAGAAGGCUCCAUAACAAAGCUGUGUUACAACACUGUAAAAAAAAAUCUUGUCAAAUUUACAGUGAAAAACUGGCAGCUGUGGUUGCCAUUUUUUCACCGUAAAAAAUACAGUGACAGUGUAUAUGGCUUUACGGUAAGGUAUAUCAACACUUGUAAAAACAACAGUUUGAAAAUGUUCAAUUUUACAGGUAUUCAAUGUACAAUAAUCAAUACAUAACUGUUAAUUUUAUGGAUAUUCAUUGUACAAUAAACAAUGAUUCAAAAUGAUGGUUACAAGCAAUGAUCUACUAAACAGAUAUAUAUCUAUUUUUAGAAUUUUUUUUACCUUUAUUGGAUAGGACAGUGCAGAGACAGGAAAUGAGCUGGAGAGGGAUCUGGAAAUGACCUCAGGUCAGAAUCGAACCCGGGUCCCCGGAUUCAUGUCUCUGUUCUAUCUCUCUAUCUCUGAGCUCUACACAGAUCCUGCAGCCCUGGCCGACUGAGAAUCCUCAGAUUACUACCUGCAAGACGUUGUGAACAAAGAGGGGAUCUCGCCCUGUCUGGGACCAUUCACCCUAACUACAACCAUGAAGUCCUCAUCAUGAGUUUCAUGACCACUCUACUGCUGCUCGGAGCAGGGUUACCCACUCAAGCUGGACCUCGAGACAACAUCUUUUGGCAAUUCGCUAACUAGACUGCACGAGCGCACACGAAUGAAAGUUAUGUCUGUCAUCUGAUGCCAUCUGAUGUAUUAUUAUACGUCUCUAUGCUCUGAAGCUCUGUAUUCUUACAGGACUCUGUUCUCACUAUAGGUCGAUAUGCCCUAUAAUUUCAUUUUCCCCUCACUGUUUUAGAACAAAUUGCUCUGAAGGAAGUAGCGUGUAUUUGGGACAAAUUAAGAGGUUUCGAGUUUCUCUAAGCUCCGGUGAGGUGGGACGAGGGCUGAUAGGGCAUGCCUGCCCUCUGAGCACCAAUACCCAUCAAGAAGAGCAAGGAUUAACUCAAGCAUAUGAGUUAUAUGUAUGAUCAGAAUAUUGGGGUGUGAUACUAGAUUACAAUCUAGUAUCAAAGAGGAGAUUGUAAGGUUUUAUUCCUUUGUAAGGAUAAAUAAUUGUAAGUAUUUAUUCUUGACCAAGAAGGCAGUAAUUUAUUUUGUGACAAAAUUGUAAGGAUUUAUUCUUAAUAUUGUUCUGUUCUGUUCUAUUUUACUAUUUCAGCUAGAAGGCAUUGAAUUCUUCUGUCUCCUGUGUAACUUGACCACGUUACUGUGUGACCUUCUGUCUAAGCUAGACACAUUGCUCGAGACGUAAUAUUGAUAUCUUUUGGAACAUUCUAUCAGAACAUAUUGCCCUGUGCUAUCUCUGACCUAAGGUUGUGCGUAAAUGUUGAUAUCUGUUAGAACAUCUGCUAAUAUGAAAUGUAUACAGGAUAUAUUUUCACUCACACACAUGCAUAUUGAUGGAAUUAAGAUGUGUUUUGCUCAGUCCAAGGUUUACUGACCUACGUCAUCAUACCAUCACGCCAUAGUCUGACAUCCUACGACGCACACACACCCACAGCUGCAUAUCCACACAGACACACACACACAUAGACAGAUAUCAAACAGUGAUGUCACUUUAGAUAAUACACACAUAUAAUAUGCCCUGUAUUCUUGUCUCAUAGGGGACUUGUGAAUAAAGAUUGUGAACUACUU